GAACUUGACUGGGACCCUAAGAACUGCUAAUUACUUACGCUGUGUUCAAUUCCACGGCUUGUUCG